AACGAACGCUGGCGGCAUGCCUAACACAUGCAAGUCGAACGAGACCUUCGGGUUUAGUGGCGCACGGGUGCGUAACGCGUGGGAACCUGCCCUUAGGUUCGGAAUAACUCCCCGAAAGGGGCGCUAAUACCGGAUAAUGUCUUCGGACCAAAGAUUUACCGCCUUUGGAUGGGCCCGCGUUUGAUUAGCUAGUUGGUAGGGUAAAAGCCUACCAAGGCGACGAUCCAUAGCUGGUCUGAGAGGAUGAUCAGCCACACUGGGACUGAGACACGGCCCAGACUCCUACGGGAGGCAGCAGUGGGGAAUAUUGGACAAUGGGCGAAAGCCUGAUCCAGCCAUGCCGCGUGAGUGAUGAAGGCCUUAGGGUUGUAAAGCUCUUUUGCCCGGGAUGAUAAUGACGGUACCGGGAGAAUAAGCUCCGGCUAACUCCGUG
rnacentral:rRNA from 1 species